AAUCAACGCUGGCGGCGUGCCUCAGACAUGCAAGUCGAACGAUUAAACUCUCCUUCGGGGGAGAUAUAAAGUGGCGCACGGGUGAGUAACACGUAGGUAAUCUACCUUUGAGUGGGGAAUAACAAUCGGAAACGAUUGCUAAUACCGCAUAAUGCAGCGGCAUCAUAAGAUGACAGUUGUUAAAGCGAGCAAUCGCGCUUAAAGAGGAGCCUGCGGCAGAUAGCUAGUUGGUAAGGUAAUGGCUUACCAAGGCUACGAUCUGUAACCGACCUGAGAGGGUGGUCGGUCACACUGACACUGAAUAACGGGUCAGACUCCUACGGGAGGCAGCAGUCGGGAAUUUUGGGCAAUGGGCGAAAGCCUGACCCAGCAACGCCGCGUGAAGGAUG
rnacentral:rRNA from 1 species